UACGGAGGGUGCGAGCGUUAUCCGGAAUUACUGGGUUUAAAGGGUGCGUAGGCGGCUUUGUAAGUCAGGAGUGAAAGUUUGCGGCUCAACCGUAAAAUUGCUUUUGAUACUGCAAGGCUAGAAUCAGGAUGAGGUUAGCGGAAUGUGGCAUGUAGCGGUGAAAUGCAUAGAUAUGCCAUAGAACACCAAUUGCGAAGGCAGCUGGCUAGACCUGUAUUGACGCUGAGGCACGAAAGCGUGGGGAGCGAACAGG
rnacentral:rRNA from 1 species